rnacentral:rRNA from 1 species
UGGGGAAUAUUGCACAAUGGGGGAAACCCUGAUGCAGCGACGCCGCGUGAGCGAAGAAGGUUUUCGAAUCGUAAAGCUCUGUCCUAUGAGAAGAUAAUGACGGUAUCAUAGGAGGAAGCCCCGGCUAAAUACGUGCCAGCAGCCGCGGUAAUACGUAUGGGGCGAGCGUUGUCCGGAAUUAUUGGGCGUAAAGGGUACGUAGGCGGUCUAUUAAGUCAGGUGUGAAAGCGUGAGGCUUAACCUCAUUGAGCACUUGAAACUGAUAGACUUGAGUGAAGGAGAGGAGAGUGGAAUUCCUAGUGUAGCGGUGAAAUGCGUAGAUAUUAGGAGGAAUACCGGUGGCGAAGGCGACUUUCUGGACUUUUACUGACGCUCAGGUACGAAAGCGUGGGGAGCAAACAGG